rnacentral:rRNA from 1 species
AGAGUUUGAUCCUGGCUCAGAAUCAACGCUGGCGGCGUGCCUCAGACAUGCAAGUCGAACGAUUAAGGCUCUCUUCGGAGAGUGUAUAGAGUGGCGCACGGGUGAGUAACACGUAGGUAAUUUGCCUUCGGGUGGGGAAUAACUUGGGGAAACCCAAGCUAAUACCGCAUAAUGCAGCGGCACCAAAUGGUGACAGUUGUUAAAGCUUUAUGUGCCUGAAGAGAAGCCUGCGGUGGAUUAGGUAGUUGGUAAGGUAAUGGCUUACCAAGCCUGCGAUCCAUAUCCGGUCUUAGAGGACGGUCGGACACACUGACACUGAAUAACGGGUCAGACUCCUACGGGAGGCAGCAGUCGGGAAUUUUGGGCAAUGGGCGAAAGCCUGACCCAGCAACGCCGCGUGAAGGAUGAAGUCCUUCGGGAUGUAAACUUCGGAAGAAUGGGAAGAAUAAAUGACGGUACCAUUUUUAAGCCCCGGCUAACUCCGUGCCAGCAGCCGCGGUAAUACGGAGGGGGCAAGCGUUGUUCGGAUUUACUGGGCGUAAAGGGCGCGUAGGCGGCGUGACAAGUCACUUGUGAAAUCUCCGGGCUUAACUCGGAACUGCCAAGUGAUACUGUCGUGCUAGAGUGCAGAAGGGGCAAUCGGAAUUCUUGGUGUAGCGGUGAAAUGCGUAGAUAUCAAGAGGAACACCAGAGGCGAAGGCGGAUUGCUGGGCUGACACUGACGCUGAGGCGCGAAAGCUAGGGUAGCAAACGGGAUUAGAUACCCCCGUAGUCC